ensembl:snRNA U6 U6 spliceosomal RNA
GCUUGUUUCGGCAGCACGUAUACUAAGAGCGGGACGAUACAGGGAAGAUUAGCGCGGCCCCUGCGCGAGCAUGACACGCAAAUUCGUGAAGCGUUCCAUGUUUUU